GCUGAGCGCAGUCGCACGUCAUCAGCCCAUGAUCGGCGGAUCGCGCGCUGCUCUCAGAUCAGAUGAAACAGCGCUGUGAGGAUCAGACUGAAGAUGAAGAGCAAAGCCACACUCACUCAUCCUGGAAAAGCCAUCCUGGCAGGUGGAAUCGCAGGCGGCAUUGAGAUCUGCAUCACGUUUCCUACAGAGUAUGUGAAGACUCAACUACAGUUAGACGAGAAAGCCAAUCCGCCACGUUACAGAGGCAUCACGGACUGUGUGUCUCAGACGGUCCGUCAUCAUGGAGUGAAGGGGUUAUACCGAGGCCUCAGCUCGCUGCUGUACGGGUCCAUCCCUAAAUCUGCCGUCAGGUUCGGUGUGUUUGAGAUACUCAGUAACCAGAUGAGGGACGAGGCUGGGAAGCUGGACAGCACUCGAGGGUUAAUCUGUGGUUUGGGUGCCGGCGUGAUGGAGGCCGUCCUGAUCGUCUGCCCCAUGGAGACCAUAAAGGUGAAAUUCAUCCAUGAUCAAACCUCGGCUAAUCCCAAAUACAGAGGCUUUUUCCACGGAGUGCGAGAGAUCAUCAGAACCCAAGGAAUCAGAGGGACGUAUCAAGGCCUCACAGCGACCGUCCUCAAACAGGGAUCCAAUCAGGCGAUCCGGUUCUUCGUCAUGACCUCUCUGAGGAACUGGUACAAGGGUGACAAUCCCAACAAAUCCAUCAACCCCGUCAUCACCGGAGCGUUCGGUGCGAUCGCAGGAGCGGCGAGUGUGUUUGGAAACACGCCGCUGGACGUCAUCAAGACCAGAAUGCAGGGUUUGGAAGCUCAUAAAUAUAAAAACACAAUGGAUUGUGCCCUGAAGAUCAUGCAGCAUGAAGGACCAGCGGCGAAUCAGAGGGACGUAUCAAGGCCUCACAGCGACCGUCCUCAAACAGGGAUCCAAUCAGGCGAUCCGGUUCUUCGUCAUGACCUCUCUGAGGAACUGGUACAAGGGUGACAAUCCCAACAAAUCCAUCAACCCCGUCAUCACCGGAGCGUUCGGUGCGAUCGCAGGAGCGGCGAGUGUGUUUGGAAACACGCCGCUGGACGUCAUCAAGACCAGAAUGCAGGGUUUGGAAGCUCAUAAAUAUAAAAACACAAUGGAUUGUGCCCUGAAGAUCAUGCAGCAUGAAGGACCAGCGGCAUUCUUCCAUGCUGAUGGCCGUGCAUGUAUCCAGCUGAAGAACAUUUUUAGACAUUAUGAAACAUAUGACUAAAUUAAGCUCCAACCCCAGUUAAACAGAUCUGAGCAGCUGAUCAAGGAUCAGCAGAAACUCUGCAGAACGGUGCUCCUCCAGCCCAGGACUGGACACCAGUGUUAUGUUGGAGAAAAAACAGUGAGGCUAAAGUAUUCAAAGUGGAAACAUCUGCCGUGGCUCAUUAAUCCAGAAUUGGGAUGGAGGAAGGAGCAGAAGAAGCAGAAGAUCAGAGAUCAGGCAGAGAUCUACUGGUGCCCCUGUGGGAAACCAUUUACCUAAUGUGAAUCAGAGGGACGUAUCAAGGCCUCACAGCGACCGUCCUCAAACAGGGAUCCAAUCAGGCGAUCCGGUUCUUCGUCAUGACCUCUCUGAGGAACUGGUACAAGGGUGACAAUCCCAACAAAUCCAUCAACCCCGUCAUCACCGGAGCGUUCGGUGCGAUCGCAGGAGCGGCGAGUGUGUUUGGAAACACGCCGCUGGACGUCAUCAAGACCAGAAUGCAGGUGCACAGAUCAGUUAUCAAGAUUAUUAUUCACAUUUAUUUAAAAUGUAUUCAGAAUUUGAUUUAUAAAGCACUUAAAAAAAUAAGAAAGUGCUGUAUAAAAAAAAUAAAAAAAUAUAGGAAAACAAAAUAUUAGAAGAAACAAGAAAACAAAUCAAUAUCAUAUUAGAAAUCUAAAUAAAAUUAGCAGCUCUUGAUAUUUAUGGUUUCUUGCCCCAAAUUUCAGUCCUUUUUUGUCAAUCAGCUGAGAUUGUAGCACUAUGUUGGUAAUUAACUUGCUAUUAUAA